rnacentral:rRNA from 1 species
ACGCCGCGUGCGGGAUGACGGCCUUCGGGUUGUAAACCGCUUUUGACUGGGAGCAAGCCCUUCGGGGUGAGUGUACCUUUCGAAUAAGCACCGGCUAACUACGUGCCAGCAGCCGCGGUAAUACGUAGGGUGCAAGCGUUAUCCGGAAUUAUUGGGCGUAAAGGGCUCGUAGGCGGUUCGUCGCGUCCGGUGUGAAAGUCCAUCGCUUAACGGUGGAUCCGCGCCGGGUACGGGCGGGCUUGAGUGCGGUAGGGGAGACUGGAAUUCCCGGUGUAACGGUGGAAUGUGUAGAUAUCGGGAAGAACACCAAUGGCGAAGGCAGGUCUCUGGGCCGUCACUGACGCUGAGGAGCGAAAGCGUGGGGAGCGAACAGGAUUAGAUACCCUGGUAGUCCACGCCGUAAACGGUGGAUGCUGGAUGUGGGGACCAUUCCACGGUCUCCGUGUCGGAGCCAACGCGUUAAGCAUCCCGCCUGGGGAGUACGGCCGCAAGGCUAAAACUCAAAGAAAUUGACGGGGGCCCGCACAAGCGGCGGAGCAUGCGGAUUAAUUCGAUGCAACGCGAAGAACCUUACCUGGGCUUGACAUGUUCCCGACAGCCGUAGAGAUACGGUCUCCCUUCGGGGCGGGUUCACAGGUGGUGCAUGGUCGUCGUCAGCUCGUGUCGUGAGAUGUUGGGUUAAGUCCCGCAACGAGCGCAACCCUCGCCCUGUGUUGCCAGCACGUCGUGGUGGGAACUCACGGGGGACCGCCGGGGUCAACUCGGAGGAAGGUGGGGAUGACGUCAGAUCAUCAUGCCCCUUACGUCCAGGGCUUCACGCAUGCUACAAUGGCCGGUACAACGGGAUGCGACACCGCGAGGUGGAGCGGAUCCCUUAAAACCGGUCUCAGUUCGGAUUGGAGUCUGCAACCCGACUCCAUGAAGGCGGAGUCGCUAGUAAUCGCGGAUCAGCAACGCCGCGGUGAAUGCGUUCCCGGGCCUUGUACACACCGCCCGUCAAGUCAUGAAAGUGGGUAGCACCCGAAGCCGGUGGCCCAACCUUUUGGGGGGAGCCGUCUAAGGUGAGACUCGUGAUUGGGACUAAGUCGUAACAAGGUAGCCGUACCGGAAGGUGCGGCUG